UACGGGGGGGGCAAGCGUUGUUCGGAAUUCCUGGGCGUAAAGGGCUCGUAGGUGGCCAACUAAGUCAGACGUGAAAUCCCCAGGCUCAACUUGGGAACUGCGUCUGAUACUGGAUGGCUUGAAUUCGGGAGAGGGAUGCAGAAUUCCAGGUGUAGCGGUGAAAUGCGUAGAUAUCUGGAGGAAUACCGGUGGCGAAGGCGGCAUUCUGGACCGAUAUUGACACUGAUGAGCGAAAGCUAGGGGAGCAAACGGG
rnacentral:rRNA from 1 species